GGGGGGGGGGGGGGGGGGGGGGGGGGGGGGGGGUGGGGCGGGGGGGGGGGGGCUUGCUUGGCGGGGUGAGUUGCGAACGGGGGGGUGACGCGUAGGUAACCUGCCUGGUAGCGGGGGGUAACUAUUGGAAACGAUAGCUGAUACCGGAUAAGAGUAGAUGUUGCAUGACGUUUUCUUAAACGUUGCCAUUGCAUCACUAUCAGCUGGACCUGCGUUGUAUUAGCUAGUUGGUGGGGUCACGGCUCACCCAGGCGCGGAUACAUACCCGACCGGAGAGGGUGAUUGGCCACACUGGGAGUGAGACACGGCACAGAGUCCUACGGGAGGCAGCAGGAGGGAAUCUUCGGCAAUGGGUGGAAGUCUGACCGAGCAACGCCGCGUGAGGGAAGAAGGUUGUCGGGUCGUAAAGCUCGGUUGUAAGAGAAGAACGAGUGUGAGAGUGGAAAGUUCACACUGUGACGGUAUCUUACCAGAAAGGGACGGCUAACUACGUG
rnacentral:rRNA from 1 species